ensembl:lncRNA
AUGGAGAAAGUCAUAUUUUUCUUCUGUGUGUUUUCAUUUUGGAUUAUGCAAAUCACAUCCAAUGAUGCGUCAGUACGAGGGUCUUUUGAUCUGCUGAGAGUUCAGAAGGGAGAAAACAUCAGUCUGAACUGCAGCAUGAGAAACAGAUAUGAAGUCGCCUGGUAUCACCUCAAUUCUGAAAAACUAGAUCUGUUGAUUUCUGUGAAGAAAGACAAAACUGGAAGAAAUAUCCUGAAGAACUUUGAUCAAAACAGCCCUCGUCUGAAGCUCACUGCAGACACAAGGAUCACCAAAGUCUUUCUAGAGAUUUCUGGAGUAACAGAGUCAGAUGUGGGCAUUUAUUUCUGUGGAACGAAGUCUGAUGCUCCAGAGAUGUUCUUCGACAAACCCAUCAGACUAGAGAUCGAGGGUCUUUCUGUAACAGAAAAGCCAAAAGAAGUUGACAUCACAGAUGGAGAGACUACGAACAAUAGGGCAUUGAUGCUCGGUGGUGUUGGUCUGGCUAUUGCUGUGUUUUUUGUGGCUACAGUCAUUGCAGGAGGAAUCAUUCACCAUCACGCCUGGCAGAAAGGAUGGAGCGCAGCCAAACGCUCAGCUCUGAUUCGUCACAAUUCAGCUAAAUAACACAUUUGUCUCCUUUAUUUUACUGUCUGAGCAUCGCACUGCCAGCUAAACCUGAGUUACUGUAGAUUACUACAAACUAAAAUAGACAACUGUGUGCCCUAAAUGCCCAAAUGUUGACCAGAUCUACUUUCACUUCAGAGAAACUGAGAUGUUUUGGCAGAUUUCACCUUUUUCAGCCCCAGGGAAACAUUAAUUGUUGUGGUUAUUAUUCAGGUUUGUGCAGUUCAUUUGUGCUUGUUAAUAAUAUUCAGUUUAAGUGCUGUUACUGCUACUGUUUUUAAUGCAACAUAAUUCAAUGUCAAUACACAAUAUUCAAGCUAGAGUAGCAUGUCUUAAGCAUUUUUACUGUAAUACAGAGACUGAGCCAAAGUCCUUAUUAAAAAAAAAAAAAAAAAAAAAAAAAGCAGCAGCUGUCGUCUGUCACAGCCAAUAUAUAUGCUUUAAAAUCAUUAAACCAGCAGGACUUGUGUUAAAAUAGUGUCUGGCUGCAUCUUUAGACAUGAUAUAUUUAUCUAGACUAGUAUUAAUACGUGCAUGUAAGCUGUUUUCAAGAGACAAUAUAAAUGUGAAUCUCUUCUAUGGCACAUAUAUCUUGAUUUAAUUAAACUGAUGUCUUAAUGUUAAAUGUAUUAUUUAGAGUUCAAAUAAACAGCAGUAAAACUGUGAAACUGUGUGUUUG